CCCACCAACCCUCUCAGAAAUCGCAGAAGAUAUGUGUAUACAACGUUUAUUAUUUAAUUCACCAAAUACAUCAUUUGAUGCAUUAUGUGAUAAUAGUUUUACAAAAUGAAAUGCAACCCUUGUUCCAUGACGUAAAAGUCGACAUAGCCCUUAUUUAACUACAGCACCAUACAGGUAUAAUCUUGCCGGAGUAGGAUUAGGAGGUAACACGUCGGUAGUAGAAUUCGUUCAUGACGGAAUAAAUGUAUCGUGGAAUUAUAAAACAUGGAAUAUUCAAGAUGUACUUACAAGCAGCUGCCAUGAUUCUUUUAUCAUCGGAUCUACUUACGCUACAAAACCACAUAUGCCUUAUUACGGACACCUCAUUAUGAAUGCAACGUAUAGAGCACCUAUGGAUAUUAGAAAUGAGAGUCGCCUUAUUUUCGCAGAGAGGCGUAAUGGACAGACAAGAAUAAAAAAGUUAACUGAUCCUAACCAAAUGAUAUACACCAACAAAGGCAGUUUCUUUAUCAGCGAGGGUAGGACGGGCCUUGUUCAGAGUGCGUGCAAAAGGUCGAGAAACUAUUAACACAGAUAUUAUAACUUCAAUGCAAACAGUUCUUUACGAAAAAUAUAAAAGGAAUGAAAAUAAAAUUAUCGGUAAUAAUUGGUAGUCUAGUGUAUAUAGUUAAAAAAGGACAUAUAAAGACUAUUACAUAAUUUUCUAUGUCUGGCCUCAAAGCUUUAGAUGGUGUUCUAAAGAUGACAAACGGAAGUGUAGCAUGUAAUCUUAUGUGGGAUUAUAAGGAGCCAAUGUUAGAAUCAUUUCAUGAUUUUAUUAGAAUACAGCAAUGUCCCGAGAUACAUUUACUGUCAGAUAUGAUAGCCGUUGGCACAAUAAUUAAUAUAAAUAUAUAAGCUAAAAUUUGUCAUUGUGGAACGGCGUUAUGAUGUUGUAAGUUAUUUGUCCCGGUUAUGCAGACGUUA